rnacentral:rRNA from 1 species
UGGCGGACGGGUGAGUAACGCGUGGGUAACCUGCCUUAACAGAGGGAUAGCAAGUGGAAACGCUUGGUAAUACCACAUAAAGCCUAAGCAUUGCAUAAUGAAUAGGUGAAAGGAGGAAUCCGGUUUAAGAUGGGCCCGCGUCCAAUUAGAUAGUUGGUGAGGUAAGAGCGCACCAAGGCGACGAUUGGUAGCCGAACUGAGAGGUUGAGCGGCCACAUUGGGACUGAGAUACGGCCCAGACUCCUACGGGAGGCAGCAGUGGGGAAUAUUGCGCAAUGGGGGGAACCCUGACGCAGCGACGCCGCGUGAAGGAAGAAGGUCUUCGGAUUGUAAACUUCUUUGAUUAGGGAAGAGGAAGGACGGUACCUAAAGAACAAGCCACGGCUAACUACGUGCCAGCAGCCGCGGUAAUACGUAGGUGGCAAGCGUUGUCCGGAAUUACUGGGUGUAAAGGGCGAGUAGGUGGAUCACUAAGUCAGAGGUGAAAACCCAUGGCUAAACUGUGGGAUAGCAACUGAAACUAGAGAUCCUGAGUACUGGAGAGGGAAGCGGAAUUCCUAGUGUAGCGGUGAAAUGCGUAGAUAUUAGGAGGAACACCAGUGGCGAAGGCGGCUUCCUGGACAGAGACUGACACUGAGGCGCGAAAGCGUGGGGAGCGAACAGGAUUAGAUACCCUGGUAGUCCACGCUGUAAACGAUGGAUACUAGGUGUAGGUGGUAAGAAACCAUCUGUGCCGGAGUAAACACAAUAAGUAUCCCACCUGGGGAGUACAGCCGCAAGGUUGAAACUCAAAGGAAUUGACGGGGGCCCGCACAAGCAGUGGAGUAUGUGGCUUAAUUCGAAGCAACGCGAAGAACCUUACCAGGGCUUGACAUCCCUUGAACUAUCUAGAGAUAGGUAGGGCCUACGGGACAAGGAGACAGGUGGUGCAUGGUUGUCGUCAGCCCGUGUCGUGAGAUGUUGGGUUAAGUCNCGCAGCGAGCGCAACCCUUAUAGUUAGUUGCCAGCAAUAAGAUGGGGACUCUAGCGAGACAGCCGUUGAGAAAACGGAGGAAGGAAAGGAUGAUGUCCAAUCAUCAUGCCCUUUAUGCUCUGGGGUACACACGUAUUACAAUGGCUACUUCAGAGGGAAGCGAAGCCAGGAGGCGGAGCAAAUCUCAAAAAG